rnacentral:rRNA from 1 species
CAAUAGCGUCUAUUUAAGUUGUUGCAGUUAAAAAGCUCGUAGUUGGAUUUCGGAUGGGAUUUGCCGGUCCGUCGUUACGAUGUGCACUGGCCAGUCCUAUCUUGUUGUCGGGGACUAGCUCCUUGGAUUCACUUCCUGGGACUAGGAGCUGACGAGGUUACUUUGAGUAAAUUAGAGUGUUCAAAGCAAGCCUACGCUCUGAAUACAUUAGCAUGGAAUAACACGAUAGGACUCUGGCUUAUCUUGUUGGUCUGUGAGACCAGAGUAAUGAUUAAGAGGGACAGUCGGGGACAUUCGUAUUUCAUUGUCAGAGGUGAAAUUCUUGGAUUUAUGAAAGACGAACUUCUGCGAAAGCAUUUGUCAAGGAUGUUUUCAUUAA